AAGAAAAAGAUCUUUGUUUGGUACAGAUCCUCACAAAAAAAAAUCACACUAUAACUUAAUAAUUGAAAUUAUGAAUAAAUGAGUAUAAUGAUACAAAAGCAAUCAUUCCCUCCAAUAUCGUGAAUCAUAUCGCAAUCGCAAUAUCAGUCAAAAUAAUCGCAAUUAGAUAUUUUCCUCAUAUCAUGCAGCCCUACUAAAGUGACAGCGGAAAAUGACAGUUGGUAGAGAAAACAUUAAAUUACCAGUAUCAGUAAAGAUCCACAUGGUUUUAUGUUUGACAUGUUGGUCCUCUUAGCUAGCUGACUGUGAUGGGAAAAAUGAAUCCCUAAAACAGUAACAGAAGGCAUGUUGCCCCUGCAUACGGGGAAGCGCACCUUUAAGAACCACUUUGUACACCAUCACUUUUUUUUUUUUUUCACCCCUCGCCCUCUAAUAAUUUUUGGACAGUCCCUUAUUGAGAAAGUCCAUAAAUAAGCAUACAUUCUUGCUAUUUCAUCUACUUCAUCAUUCAAAAGUAUCUUUCCUCAUAUCCACGCAUCUAAGAUCAGUUUCAAACACCUGAUGUGAUGUGUGCAGAUACA